ensembl:snoRNA Gm24549 predicted gene, 24549
CCUGCCCCUAGGGCAAGCAUUGCAGAUGUGGCUGCUGUGUGUUAUGUACUUCAAUCUGUGGAAAAGAGGAGAGAGGCUAUGUCUAAGCUCAGUGUUCUGAUCUGAGAAUAUAUGCAUGCAUACAUAGCAGCUUAACAUU